rnacentral:misc_RNA from 1 species
GUAUUUUCUUUGCAUAUUAUAUUAACUAUUUUGAAUAAUUUUGCACUUCCUUUAAUGAAGGGAGUGCUUUUUUUGCGCUUUGCGCUUUAAGCAAUGGGGUGAUGCAUCACUUUGAGUUCGCCUUAUGCUUUUAACUACCUUGAUGAAAACUCAUUCUGUCAAACAUUGUGCGUUAGGGAAACUAACUUAUUGCACUUAUGCGUAUGAAGACAAAGACAUCUCUCCUAAUUAAGUACUUUCAAGCUCAUUUUGUCAUAUAUGCUUGUAAUUACAUAUCCAUGUUGGUUAAUAUAGUUUUGGGUGGUGAAUCUUAUGUAAUCAGCCAAGAUUGAGUGUUUCUUUUGUUAGCUUACUGUUCCUAUCAUAUCCUGUAUCAUGAAUUAAAGUUAAUAUACCUAUAAAAAGAUUUCGACAUAAUUGUGUGGACAACACUAUAUCGUGUUCCUGUUUAAUCCCUCCCCUCAUCCCACUGCAGUUGCUAACUGAUUUGAGGCUGACAGAAAACUGUGCAUUGCAAAAAGGAAGGCUAUUGGUUUUAAAGUGUCCUUUAUGUCAAGCAAAAGCUGCAACCUUAUUAGGAAAUUAACUAAUGUAGAAACUAAUAGUUUAAUUGUUAAGUGAAAUAACAAAUGUUUGAUCUCUGAUUCUGUGUUUUGUCUUAAAAUCCACAACUUGAUGAGACAAUCAUGAGCCUCAAGCUUUAUAGACUUAUUCAUCACCUUCAUGAACCUUCAAUGAGUGCUUGCUUGUGCUGGAGAAUACAUGGCAUCUAACUGGCAUGCGUUUUUACUCUAUUUCUUUCUUCUUAGUAGAUAGCCUACCUAUGAACACUAGGAUGCCAAUUAUGAAAUAUGCCUUUGUUAUUGCAUACUAAUUUUGUUUCUUUUGCUUUCUUCUCCAUCUUUUGCCAACCUAUUACUAUUUAUUUAUAUUGACUCUUGACUCUUUGCAUGUAAAAUGCAGCUCCUGAGGUAGUUGAGAAGCCUG